rnacentral:tRNA from 36 species
GGACGCGUAGCUCAGCGGGAGAGCACCUCGUUCACACCGAGGGGGUCACAGGUUCAAUCCCUGUCGCGUCCACCA